UAGACGACGUACGCUAAGUCAACUUCGUUCACUUGGUUGUUGAUAGUUAGACAUUCAAGCUGUUUGAAGGAACAACUUCUCAUAUUUGAUAUUCUGUUGUUGACGACCAACCGGAUCAGAUAACAUCAUGUCUGACAGAAAAGCUGUGAUCAAGAAUGCGGACAUGUCCGAGGAAAUGCAGCAGGAUGCAGUUGACUGUGCAACUCAAGCUCUUGAAAAAUUCAACAUUGAGAAAGACAUUGCUGCAUUUAUUAAGAAGGAAUUCGACAAAAAGUACAACCCAACCUGGCAUUGCAUCGUCGGACGCAACUUUGGCAGCUACGUGACACACGAGACGAAGCAUUUCAUCUAUUUCUACCUUGGCCAAGUUGCAAUCCUUCUCUUCAAAUCCGGAUAAACAAGACACUACCUUAGCCAAAUUUUGUUAAGCAAGGAAAAACUACAAAAAAAAGACUGUUAACAGAUUUUUAUAUAUUUUAUGUAUAAAUAUUAAGCUUUUUUUUCAAAACUGAUGACUAAAGUAGCCAUCAAAAUAUGUAUGGUUAUUUUCACGUCUCUGACUAGAAGUGAUGUAUAUAUGUACUUACCUCAAACAAGGAAUCUUGAUGAAAGCUGUGAAAUGCUUGUAACAUUGUAGCAAGAUAUGACAGACACAAAAUAAAAGUGCUAAUUAUAUUGAACUAAA